rnacentral:lncRNA from 1 species
CUGGAGCAAAGAACGAUUCUUGGUUAAUCAAGUGGUUGUGGUCAUUUCCUUCAUAGCUGAAGAGAACCAAAAAUGGCAUCACAGAAGAUAUCAUUUAACUUGUAUUUAAAUUGGAUUUAAGUGAAGCAGAGUUGUACAAAGUUCUAUAUAGACCUCACUCUCUCUUCCAGAAUCAUCAAAGUCCAAUGGAUAGCUCCCUGUAGAAGUUCAUGUGAGAGAAGAACCUUGAAGAAAGCUAAGGAUUCUAAGAAAUGGAGGUGAAAGAGAUCCUUUCCAGCAUUUGAGACAACAAAGAUGAAGGACAUCAGGUGUUAUGUAUGGUGAACAGAGAGAAUAAGAACUGU